GAGAGAACUUGCUCUGCCUUGUUGUACAGCGUAUCUCGAAGACGUUUCAAUUCCAAUUUUAAGAGAUUAUCUUCAAUCAUCAAAUCCUAUCAAAUGCCAAGAAGAGAAAUAAUACAAAAUUAAAAGGCAGAUUGGCCAUUUCUGUUCUCAGAGAUUCUAAAUCAGAAGCAGUUCUGUCCACAGUGGCUUUUAAAGUAUCCAGCUAAUAAAUAAAUAAAUAAAGCCAAAUUUGGAUUCUCUUACUCCAUGAGUGGUGCCAAUUGACUGAGACGGGACUUCCCAAUGUGAGAGGGAAUGGCAGAAUCUGGCCUUGUACAGCCAGGAGGAGGAUCUGGCCAUUUUGAGCACCAUAGAGAGUCAACAAAGAGGAAGAAAGCCAACCUGAAGGAAUAAAAGUUAGCCUAAUGGCUUGAAAAAAAGAAAAGACAUAGUAAGCGACUGGUCCUCCAGUUCUUACUAACACAAAACUCUUAACAUGUUCCUGAGCAAGGGCUGAAGGACUGGGUCAUAAAUAUUUGUGGGAUGUCACAGGCAUUAGUGCCCCAUCAACAAGUACUAUUGUUAAAAUUGUUGUCUUAUGACCUCAUUUGUCUAAGGCAAAAACACUUCUCAUUGCAAGAAGAAUAGUGAUAAACAGAAUAGGUUACAUAUUACAAUAUUCGUGAACCUUACUUCUUGA